rnacentral:rRNA from 1 species
GACGAACGCUGGCGGCGUGCUUAACACAUGCAAGUCGAACGGAAAGGCCCUGCUUUUGUUGGGUGCUCGAGUGGCGAACGGGGGAGUAACACGUGAGUAACCUGCCCUUGACUUUGUGAUAACUUCAGGAAACUGGGGCUAAUACCGGAUAGGAGCUCCUGCUGCAUGGUGGGGGUUGGAAAGUUUCGGCGGUUGGGGCUGGACUCGCGGCUUAUCAGCUUGUUGGUGGGGUAGUGGCUUACCAAGGCUUUGACGGGUAGCCGGCCUGGGAGGGUGAACGGCGACAUUGGGCCUGAGAGACGGACCAGACUCCUACGGGAGGCAGUAGUGGGGAAUAUUGCACAAUGGGCGGAAGCGUGAUGCAGCAACGCCGCGUGCGGGAUGACGGCCUUCGGGUUGUAAACAGAUUUCGCCUGUGACGAAGAGUGAGUGACGGUAAUGGGUAAAGAAGCACCGGCUAACUACGUG